UAGGGAAUCUUCGGCAAUGGGGGCAACCCUGACCGAGCAACGCCGCGUGAGUGAAGAAGGUUUUCGGAUCGUAAAGCUCUGUUGUAAGUCAAGAACGGGUGUGAGAGUGGAAAGUUCACACUGUGACGGUAGCUUACCAGAAAGGGACGGCUAACUACGUGCCAGCAGCCGCGGUAAUACGUAGGUCCCGAGCGUUGUCCGGAUUUAUUGGGCGUAAAGCGAGCGCAGGCGGUUUGAUAAGUCUGAAGUUAAAGGCUGUGGCUCAACCAUAGUUCGCUUUGGAAACUGUCAAACUUGAGUGCAGAAGGGGAGAGUGGAAUUCCAUGUGUAGCGGUGAAAUGCGUAGAUAUAUGGAGGAACACCGGUGGCGAAAGCGGCUCUCUGGUCUGUAACUGACGCUGAGGCUCGAAAGCGUGGGGAGCGAACAGGAUUAGAUACCCUGGUAGUCCACGCCGUAAACGAUGAGUGCUAGGUGUUGGAUCCUUUCCGGGAUUCAGUGCCGCAGCUAACGCAUUAAGCACUCCGCCUGUGGAGUACGACCGCAAGGUUGAAAC
rnacentral:rRNA from 1 species